rnacentral:rRNA from 1 species
GACGAACGCUGGCGGCGUGCUUAACACAUGCAAGUCGAACGAAGAGCGAUGGACGCUUGCUUCUAUCAAUCUUAGUGGCGAACGGGUGAGUAACGCGUAAUCAACCUGCCCUUCAGAGGGGGACAACAGUUGGAAACGACUGCUAAUACCGCAUACGAUCUAAUCUCGGCAUCGAGGAUAGAUGAAAGGUGGCCUCUACAUGUAAGCUAUCACUGAAGGAGGGGAUUGCGUCUGAUUAGUUAGUUGGAGGGGUAACGGCCCACCAAGGCGAUGAUCAGUAGCCGGUCUGAGAGGAUGAACGGCCACAUUGGGACUGAGACACGGCCCAGACUCCUACGGGAGGCAGCAGUGGGGAAUCUUCCGCAAUGGACGAAAGUCUGACGGAGCAACGCCGCGUGAGCGAUGACGGCCUUCGGGUUGUAAAGCUCUGUUAAUCGGGACGAAAGGCCUUCUUGCGAAUAGGGAGAAGGAUUGACGGUACCGGAAGAGAAAGCCACGGCUAACUACGUG